UACAUGUGGUGAAUUCGUCCUAGGAUCC
rnacentral:piRNA from 1 species